CCUACGGGCGGCAGCAGUAGGGAAUCUUUCACAAUGGGCGAAAGCCUGAUGGAGCAACGCCGCGUGCAGGAUGAAGGCCUUCGGGUUGUAAACUGCUUUUAUAAGCGAGAAAUAUGAUGGUAACUUAUGAAUAAGGAUCGGCUAACUACGUGCCAGCAGCCGCGGUCAUACGUAGGAUCCGAGCAUUAUCCGGAGUGACUGGGUGUAAAGAGUUGCGUAGGUGGCAUAAUAAGUAGCUAGUGAAAUCUGGUGGCUCAACCAUUCAGACUAUUAGCUAAACUGUUAAGCUCGAGACCGUUAGGGGUAACUGGAAUUUCUAGUGUAGGAGUGAAAUCCGUAGAUAGUAGAAGGAACACCAAUAGCGUAGGCAGGUUGCUGGGACGGUUCUGACACUAAGGCACGAAAGCGUAGGGAGCAAACGGGAUUAGAUACCCGAGUAGUC
rnacentral:rRNA from 1 species